rnacentral:rRNA from 1 species
GACGAACGCUGGCGGCGUGCUUAACACAUGCAAGUCGAACGAAGUGGCGUACGUGAUAGUACCGCGUAAUCAACCUGCCCUUCAGAGGGGGACAACAGUUGUAAACGACUGCUAAUACCGCAUACUGAAGGUGGGGAUUGCGUCUGAUUCGCUAGUUGGAGGGGUAACGGCCCACCAAGGCGAUGAUCAGUAACCGGUCUGAGAGGAUGAACGGCCAAAUUGGGGCUGGGACACGGCCCAGACUCAUACGGGAGGCAGCAGGGGGGAAUCUUCCGCAAUGGACGAAAGUCUGACGGAGGAACGCCGCGGGAGUUAUGACGGCCUUCGGGUUGUAAAGCUCUGUUAAUCGGGACGCGGUAGCGGAAUAGAAAGCCACGGCUAACUACGUGCCAGCAGCCGCGGUAAUAC